CUCCAUGGCGCCGCUCCCGCCCCUUCCGGAGCGGCUCGGAAGCGGCGGGGUGGAUGGUCGGGCGGGCGGCGGGGCCGAUGCACCGGGGGCUCCGCGGGACAGGCCCACAGUACCUCAAGUGUGACCAUAAAAUAUGAUUCUUUCCCUGCUGCACCAAACUCCCUAAGUACUUCUUUUGUAGUUUGGUCGCGUGGCCUCAACUACAAUGCAACAAGCUUUAGAACAGGCAUUGGAUCGUGCUGAGUAUAUCAUUGAAAGUGCCCGUCAGAGACCUCCCAAAAGAAAAUAUUUAUCCAGUGGAAGAAAAUCUGUGUUUCAAAAACUGUAUGAUUUAUAUACAGAAGAAUGUGAAAAAGAGCCCGAGAUAAAGCAGAAGCUGAGACGAAAUGUGAAUUUACUUGAGAAGCUGGUUAUGCAGGAGACGUUGUCAUGUCUGGUAGUGAACCUCUAUCCAGGAAAUGAGGGUUAUUCACUUAUGCUCAGGGGAAAAAAUGGUUCAGAUUCUGAGACCAUUCGUCUGCCUUAUGAGGAAGCAGAACUGCUUGAAUAUUUGGAUGCAGAGGAACUACCACCUAUUUUGGUUGAUCUUUUGGAAAAAUCACAGGUUAAUAUUUUUCAUUGUGGAUGUGUCAUAGCAGAAAUACGUGACUAUAGACAGUCUGGUAACAUGAAAUCUCCAACAUACCAAAGCAAGCACAUUCUUUUGCGUCCUACAAUGCAGACUUUAAUUUGUGAUGUGCAUUCUAUAACAAGUGACAACCACAAAUGGACACAGGAGGACAAACUCCUACUUGAGAGCCAACUUAUUUUGGCUACAGCAGAGCCUUUGUGUCUUGAUCCUUCAAUAGCAGUGACGUGUACUACAAACAGACUCCUGUACAACAAGCAGAAGAUGAACACUCGCCCAAUGAAACGAUGCUUCAAAAGGUACUCAAGGUCCUCUCUGAACAGACAGCAGGAAGUAGCUCACUACUCAGCUCCACCUCAGCUCAGAAUACUUGACUACUUACAGAAAAGGAAGGAGAGGAAAGCAGCCCAGCAGUAUGACCUCAAAAUUUCUAAAGCUGGAAAUUGCGUAGAUAUGUGGAAACAGAACCCUUGCUACUUGACUGCACCUUCUGAAGUAGACGUGGAAAAAUAUGCCAAAGUGGAAAAGUCUAUCAAGCCUGAUGACUCACAACCAACUGUCUGGCCAGCACAUGAAAUAAAAGAUGAUUAUGUAUUUGAAUGUGAAGUUGGUAAUCAGCUUCAAAAAACAAAACUGACCAUUUUCCAGUCUCUUGGCAAUCCCUUGUACUAUGGUAAAAUUCAGACACUCAAAGGUGAUGAGGAAAAUGACAACCUAUUAACUCCAUCACAGUUCCUUAUUGGUUCGAAGACUGAUGCUGAAAGGGUGGUGAACCAGUAUCAGGAGUUAGUACAAAGUGAAGCUAAAUGUCCUGUGAAAAUAUUUCAUAAUUCAAGUGGAUCAGUCAAUCUUAGUCAUCUUUCUCCAGGGAAGGAAAUGGAACAGCCAGAAAGCAUAUCAGGUUCUGUUCAGUCUUCAGUGCUGGGGAAAGGUGUAAAACACCGACCUCCUCCUAUCAAAUUACCUUCAAGUUCAGGAAGUAGUUCUUCAGGUAAUAUUUUUAGUUCACAACAGUCAAGUGGCCAUCUAAAAUCCCCAACUCCUCCUCCUCCUUCUAAGCCUCCUGGUCUUUCUCGGAAACAAUCUAUGGAUCUUAAUCAAGUUAGCAUGCUCUCUCCAGCUGCCAUGUCUCCUGCGAGCUCUUCACAAAGGUCUGGAACUCCUAAACCAUCUACUCCUACUCCAACCAACACCCCUUCAUCGACCCCACACCCUCCUGAUGCUCAGAGCUCAACUCCUAUUACCCCUUCUGCCACCCCUACUCCCCAAGAUUCAGGCUUCACCCCUCAGCCCACUUUGUUAACCCCGUUUGCUCAGCAGCAAAUGUCUCUGAGCCAGGCACUGCCUGUAAUGACCAUUCCUCUUUCCACCAUGGUAACAUCCAUUACUACAGGAACAGCCUCCACCCAGGUCAUGGCAAACCCUGCAGGACUUAACUUCAUCAAUGUAGUGGGCUCUGUGUGUGGAGCACAGUCACUGAUGAGUGGUUCAAACCCUAUGCUGGGGUGCAACACUGGUGCCAUUGCCCCUGCGGGUAUAAAUCUGAGUGGCAUUUUACCGUCAGGAGGUCUGGUACCAAGUGCGCUGCCCGCUGCAAUGCAGUCUGCCUCUCAAGCAGACUGUCCAAUUUGCUUACAUCCUUCUUAAAAUGUGAUAACCAAAACUGGACACAAGCCUGAGCUUGGCUGAUUUACCACUGUGGAGCACAGCAGAAUAAAUGCAUCUCAUCUCUUUUACAACAUUCCUGUUAACAUUUCCCCAAAUGAGGUCUGCCUGUUUUUUAUCUGUAUUUUUUUGCAACAGCAUUACAUUAACAUAAGAAUGGCUUUACUGGUUUAGGCCAAAAAUCCAUCCAGUUUAUAUUCUGUCUCUGACAGUUGCCAUUAGAGGAUACUGAGGAAAGAGUUUAAGAUAAGGCAAAAGUGUGAAGUAAAACAUCCCUUCUCUACAACUGUACCUCUUCUGGCAAUCUACAGCAUUGAGACAUUCUAAGCUGAAGAAUAUCCACAUGGAUCUUUGUGCUUAAUAUCCCAUGCUAGAUUUCUAGUCUGUGGAUUUAUCUAAUUGGUUUCUGAACCCAUUUAUAUUUCUGGAACCUACAGCAUCUUGUGACAGUGAAUUUUAUAAAUGUAAACUCUCUGAAGAGGUUCUUUUCUUUUGUGUGCUCUGUAGUUUGUGAUAUGGAUGAUUUGGAUAUGUUUGUGACUUAUUGUAACUUCUCAUGUCCUUUCUUGCUGUAUAGACACAAAGCUAGUUACAAGUUUGUACUUGUUCAUUUGUCUUUUUUAAAUUCAGUGUUAUUGAAUUUUGGACCAUUUGUUCAAUUCACUAGGAUCACUUUUAGUCUAACUCUGCCCUUUCAGGCACUACCAACCUUUACCACUUUGGUGUCACAGAUUUUUCCAUGCUGUGCUGUCGCCCACACAACAGAUGGGAGUAGUGAACUGAGCUGGGUCUGUGUGAGACCUCCAGGGAUUCUGCUUGAUAGCUGCUGGCUUACUGGAGAGCUGCUCAGAUUUUGUGUGGGAUUGUUUUCUGUUAAAGAUUGAUAAACUGAGAGUGUCUUACUUGAUUGAGACCAUGGAGUUUUUUGCAUUUACUGCACAAACAGUAAAAGUUUUUAAAGGCAGAAUAAGAAUCACUGAAGAGUAACUGCUAGGGUUCUCCAUUCACCUUUGUCUAAAUGCAUUAACAAGUUAUAGGUUACAAGGUGCAGUGUUUAGUAGCAAUAUAGCUCUCUUGUACUUUGAGUCUGAAUAACUAUGAAUUUUACAUUAUGGAAAAUGCAGCAUUGUAUUAAGUAUAAAAUUCACACUUGCCAGUUUUCCAACUUCUAAAUGUUUAGGAAAUAGUCCCAGUGGAAAGGUAUAUUGCAAUUCGCAAAUAUAACUGAGUAAAGCCUCCCUACUAAUGAAAAGAUGUUCUCUUUAACAGGCAGCCCCUUUGGUUUGAAAAAUACAUCAAAUCUUCGGCCCUUAAAUCUUCUACAGGGGUCUGACCAAGGUCCAUCCAAUCAAGAUCAGGCAUUAUCUGCCCAACAAGCUGCUGUAAUUAACCUG